GCCAGAGUGGCGGAACUGGCAUACGCGCCAGAUUCAAAAUCUGGUGGCCGCAAGGUCGUGCGGGUUCGAUUCCCGCCUCUGGCACCA
rnacentral:tRNA from 2 species